rnacentral:misc_RNA from 1 species
GUUUGAUUUAUCCUUUAUGCAGUGUAAUUCUUAUUAUUUUGGCUGAAUUUGGGUCAUUGUCUAUGAAAACUGGGUUCAGAUCAGUCUCACUGAACUAUCAUAGUUGAGGCCCAUCUGAACUGCUCUGUUGACCGUAAAUAGCGAAAGCCUAAAGCUUCCCCUUUUCUUAGUUCUCACAUUCCUUUGCGCUGUAUAUAUUCGUGAAAAAGUUUGGAAUCUGAAAUUCUCCCGCCAAAAAGAGUGCGAAAAUGAAGGACUAUCAUACUCCACUAAAGGAAGAUCUCUCCAAUCGGAAAUCCAAGGAGUCUCGAUUGAAGAAGCCUCAAAAGAUCGCUAAGAAAAGCUUGAAUGGUGCGUUUGCCUCGGUUUCUGAAGAUGUUUUGUUCGAGACCGUAAAGGAAUCCAGUGAUUUCUCUGCGAUUUCAGAGAUCUCAGACGCUAAUUCUACCAGCCAAAUGGCACAAAGUUCUGUGUUGGAGUUCAAUCCGGUUCUUUCAGCUUCAUUAGAAACAUUGCCUCUCUGUGAUCUUACUCUGACUUCAAAGAUUCUCGCAACCUCUGCUGAUCCAGGCGAUGUGUCUAUGGAGCUUUCCCGAUUCCGCAAGCCAGACGGUUCUGUGGAGAUAGAUAUUGUGGCCAAUUUCCUCAAACAAGCUCGAACUCGGGUCUUAAACUCCACUAAUGCGGAUCAGCAGUCGAAGAAGAUCCUAGAUGCAUUAAUUAAGGUUGUGCUAGAUGAGUACCACGCUCUACCUGAAGAGAUGGACUGGUACUCUGGACUUGUUUCUGUGAAAGUUCGCGUCGUGUUUCUUUGCUUCUUGAUUUGGGGCUUCAUAGUCUCUGUGAUAUUCUUUUUGGGUUUAAGAUUGGACUCUUACAGUGGACCCUCACCAACUUGAACCAAUAUGAAGAGAGCCUCCCGAUCAAUGUUUGGGCCUGCCACGAGUAUUUCACGCUCCAGAUGUUCGAUUAUGGGUAUAAGAAGAGUGUUAAGAUCUCACAAUAAUAAUGUACCUCUUAUAUGGACUACUAAAAUAUUAUUGUUUGUCUUAUAUGGCGAACCUUUGAAUCGAGGCCUUCAUUGCUCAAAAAUUUCACCUCCCUGUCAUUGCUUUUGUCCAAGUAUAUCUAUUUGGCUAUCACGUUUGUAUGCACAACUUUGUUGUUUUCUG